UACAGAGGGGGGCAAGCGUUGUUCGGAAUUACUGGGCGUAAAGGGCGCGUAGGCGGCCCGCUAAGUCGAACGUGAAAUCCCCCGAGCUCAACUCGGGGAACUGCGUCUGAUACUGGAUGGCUUGAGUUUGGGAGAGGGAUGCGGAAUUCCAGGUGUAGCGGUGAAAUGCGUAGAUAUCUGGAGGAACACCGGUGGCGAAGGCGGCAUCCUGGGAUAACACUGACGCUCAUGCACGAAAGCGUGGGGAGCAAACAGG
rnacentral:rRNA from 1 species